rnacentral:rRNA from 1 species
UUGACGGGGCCGCACAAGCGGUGGAGCAUAGUGGUUUAAUUCGAAGCAACGCGAAGAACCUUACCAGGUCUUGACAUCCCGAUGCUAUUUCUAGAGAUAGAAAGUUACUUCGGUACAUCGGUGACAGGUGGUGCAUGGUUGUCGUCAGCUCGUGUCGUGAGAUGUUGGGUUAAGUCCCGCAACGAGCGCAACCCCUAUUGUUAGUUGCCAUCAUUCAGUUGGGCACUCUAGCGAGACUGCCGGUAAUAAACCGGAGGAAGGUGGGGAUGACGUCAAAUCAUCAUGCCCCUUAUGACCUGGGCUACACACGUGCUACAAUGGUUGGUACAACGAGUUGCGAGUCGGUGACGGCGAGCUAAUCUCUUAAAGCCAAUCUCAGUUCGGAUUGUAGGCUGCAACUCGCCUACAUGAAGUCGGAAUCGCUAGUAAUCGCGGAUCAGCACGCCGCGGUGAAUACGUUCCCGGGCCUU